ensembl:lncRNA
ACAAUGAUUGUCUUCCUGCUGGGAUCACUGUGAUACAGCUGUGAUGAGCCACAUGGCUUUGCUGUGUGGAUCCUGCUCUUCUGGAACUGAGUUGUGUUGAAGCCUGUCUUCUAGGAUUUGAAGCUGCCCUCCUUGACUUGGAAGCAGAAACAAAGGCCAUUGCCAAAGUUGCUCCAUAUAGACAUGGAUCCUCUCCCAAACAAGUGUAGAGUUUCUCUGAGAAAAGCAUAAGGGUUCUAAUCCACAUUUUCAAGAUACAGUGUUAGCCACCCAAAAAGCCAAGAAAUCAGUCUUGCAGGCACCACAACUCCCCAGGAAACAUCUGCAGGACCUUCUGCCAUGAAGAAGAAUGAAGUGGGCCUGGGGAGCCUGGGGCUUGUGGGGGCUCCAUCUGGAAGCAGUGAUGGAGGCAGUCUGCUGACUUGGGAGGGGGAGCUUUCUCCAGGUUUUUGAAGACAUAGAAGGAACAUGAAAGGUGGUUUGGACAAUGGUUCAUGUUGGCUUGUCCUUCAUAACUACUGGGCAUAGUUAUCUUUCAAAAUCCAUCUCUUGACCUAACGUCUAUUCCACCUUUCGUGAGCUCUAAAAGACCUAGGCUCACCUGUUGGUCAUGCACUUUUGAACAGAAUUUGAUUUCAAUUGUUCCAGUCCAACAGUUUAUCUUCUAAGUUAAAACUGGACACACUUGGCAGUCAGGCACAUGAAACAAUGCUGGAUUUUGAAGUCUAGGAUGAAGAAAGAAGACUAAAGAUGGAUUCAACCUGACCUUGGAAAUAAGCAAGUAGCUCAUAAAAAGAGGAGGGGGCCUGGGAACCAAAAGAGACAGCCUGACAGCAGACAGAAAACGAUUUAACACCCAGACAGGGAAGAAAAUUGAGAUCUUCAGUGACAGCCAAAAGAUACAACCCACACGAAUGACUUCGAAAUGAGAGCUGAGGGCAGGCCGUGUUACGGAGACUUUCCCAUCACGAGAUGCUUGAUAGUCUCUCUCACCUUGAAGAUACCCACCAUAAGUGUUUCUCCCAGGACGGAUAUGAAUUCACAGGGGAGGAAAACCAAGCCAGCUCUUCAAGUUAUCCCCGACGGCACUAUUCCGAGUCUUGUGUUGUCGUUUCCUGAAACUCUGUAGUCUGCUCCUGGAACUCCCUGAAGCAGUUUCCUCUCCAGCGUCCCCAGCCGCCUACACAGGAGCAGUUUUGGGGAAGAUGCAGGGUUGAGGCGAGGGUGGAUAAAAAGCCCACCUGGCUCCCUUCUCCAGAGCUCCUAGAAGCAGGACACUGAUUUCACCGAGUCCAGCGUCAAUGCACGGCCGGCUCCUGUUUUUCCUGGGACCUUAAGUGAACCCUGGGCUGGGAAACCCUCUUUGGAUCCCACCCCCAGCCUCCUAAAACUGUGGUGAAUUGGCUUCUGAGGGUAUUUAUAAGUUGUACCUAAAUACUUCUAAAGUUGUAUACUUCAAAAAGUUGUAUACUUCUAAACGGUCUUCCCGGGUGGCGCAGUGGUAAAAGAAUCCUGCAAUGCAGGAGACUCAGGUUUGAUCCCUGGUUCGCAAAGAUCCCCUGGAAGAGGCCAUGGCAACCCACUCCAGUAUUCCUGCCUGGAGAAUCCCAUGGACAGAGGAGCCUGGCAGGCUACAGUCCAUGGGGUCACAAAAGAAUCAGCGACUAAAACAACAACACCAACUCAUUAAGCAUAGUCAAGGAAAUUUAGCUCCUUCUCAAGGGCUACAGAUAAUAUUCUGAGCCAUAACCUGUGAGCUGUCCUGUAGAUAAUGAAACCCCCUCCAGGUGGAAGAAGUUAACUACAUGAUGACCAGGCUGUAGCCAAGACAUAAGUUGCCACAACUUGAGAACUGGCCUCAAAAAAUGGAUACAAACUGACCCCGAAGCAGAAGCUGAAGAUAAAUCGUAUUUAAAACAAUCAUGAUGACUCUGGUCCGACCACCGAUGACCAAUUUCAGAAUGACUGUCAGAGCUGCCUGUGCUAUUUCUGCAUGUAACACCCUUCUUCAGCCUAUAAAAGGUCUUACCCCCUGAUAACUGGGGUAGGGGGAGUUGGCUUUUGGACAGACCUCAGCCCUUCCCCCAAGUUGUUAGCAUCUGAAAUAAAGCAAACUUUCCUUUCCA